UGGGGAAUAUUGGGCAAUGGGCGAAAGCCUUACCCAGCAACGCCGCGUGAGGGAUGAAGUAUUUCGGUAUGUAAAGCUCUAUCAGCAGGGAAGAAAACGACGGUACCUGACUAAGAAGCCCCGGCUAACUACGUGCCAGCAGCCGCGGUAAUACGUAGGGAGCGAGCGUUGUCCGGAUUUACUGGGUGUAAAGGGUGCGUAGGCGGCCGAGCAAGUCAGUUGUGAAAACUAUGGGCUUAACCCAUAACGUGCAAUUGAAACUGUCCGGCUUGAGUGAAGUAGAGGUAGGCGGAAUUCCCGGUGUAGCGGUGAAAUGCGUAGAGAUCGGGAGGAACACCAGUGGCGAAGGCGGCCUACUGGGCUUUAACUGACGCUGAGGCACGAAAGCAUGGGUAGCAAACAGGAUUAGAUACCCUGGUAGUCCAUGCCGUAAACGAUGAUUACUAGGUGUGGGGGGACUGACCCCUUCCGUGCCGCAGUUAACACAAUAAGUAAUCCACCUGGGGAGUACGGCCGCAAGGUUGAAACUCAAAGGAAUUGACGGGGGCCCGCACAAGCAGUGGAGUAUGUGGUUUAAUUCGAAGCAACGCGAAGAACCUUACCAGGUCUUGACAUCCUGAGAAUCCUUAAGAGAUUAGGGAGUGCCUUCGGGAACUCAGAGACAGGUGGUGCAUGGUUGUCGUCAGCUCGUGUCGUGAGAUGUUGGGUUAAGUCCCGCAACGAGCGCAACCCUUGCUAUUAGUUGCUACGCAAGAGCACUCUAAUAGGACUGCCGUUGACAAAACGGAGGAAGGUGGGGACGACGUCAAAUCAUCAUGCCCCUUAUGACCUGGGCUACACACGUACUACAAUGGCCAUUAACAGAGGGAAGCAAAACCGCGAGGCAGAGCAAACCCCUAAAAAUGGUCCCAGUUCGGACUGCAGGCUGCAACUCGCCUGCACGAAGUCGGAAUUGCUAGUAAUCGCAGAUCAGCAUGCUGCGGUGAAUACGUUCCC
rnacentral:rRNA from 1 species